CACCAACAACAUGGAGUUUGAUUCCACUUCUACAUAAAACAAUGGAAUUGAGGUUGAUGAAUUCAGAAUUCGAGUUGUUGAAAACGGAAAAACUUGUCACCAGGUUUAUUUUUAAGGCUUUUUUAUUAUAUUUAUUUAAUGUAUAAUACAUAAUAUAUUCGUAAAGCCUACCCAAAAAGAGGCUGUGGUUAAAUUCAAUUAUUUCAU
rnacentral:lncRNA from 1 species